rnacentral:rRNA from 1 species
GACGAACGCUGGCGGCGUGCUUAACACAUGCAAGUCGAGCGGUAAGGCCCUUUCGGGGGUACACGAGCGGCGAACGGGUGAGUAACACGUGGGUGACCUGCCCUCAGCUCUGGGAUAAGCCUGGGAAACCGGGUCUAAUACCGGAUAUGACUCCAUGACGCAUGUUGUGGGGUGGAAAGCCUUGUGCGGCUGAGGAUGGGCCCGCGGCCUAUCAGCUUGUUGGUGGGGUGAUGGCCUACCAAGGCGACGACGGGUAGCCGGCCUGAGAGGGCGACCGGCCACACUGGGACUGAGACACGGCCCAGACUCCUACGGGAGGCAGCAGUAGGGAAUCUUGCGCAAUGGGCGAAAGCCUGACGCAGCAACGCCGCGUGGGGAUGACGGCCUCGGUUGUAACCC